AGUUUUCUGAAUCCGUGACGAGAUUUCGUCAGACAACAGACCAUCAGCACUGAUGAGACUCCCACGAUAAGUGAAACG
rfam:Schistosoma margrebowiei strain Zambia genome assembly, scaffold: SMRZ_contig0001689